UACGAGGGGGCGAGCGUUGUUCGGAAUUAUUGGGCGUAAAGGGUGCGUAGGCGGUUUUGUAAGUCUUAUGUGAAAUCUACAGGCUCAACUUGUAGUCUGCAUGAGAAACUGCAGGGCUUGAGUAUGGGAGAGGUGAGUGGAAUUCCUGGUGUAGCGGUGAAAUGCGUAGAUAUCAGGAGGAACACCAAUGGCGAAGGCAGCUCGCUGGGACGUGACUGACGCUGGAGACGCGAAAGCGUGGGGAGCAAACAGG
rnacentral:rRNA from 1 species